ensembl:lncRNA
UUUUUGUAAGGAUUUUUAGGGGUCCAAGCCAACAGGUUGGAUCCCUAUUGUUUUUGUAAGGAUUUUUAGGGGUCCAAGCCAACAGGUUGGAUCCCUAUUGUUUUUGUAAGGAUUUUUCCUAUUAUUAGGGGUCCAAGCCAACAGGUUGGAUCCCUAUUGUUUUUGUAAGGAUUUUUAUUAGGGGUCCAAGCCAACAGGUUGGAUCCCUAUUGUUUUUGUAAGGAUUAUUAUUAGGGGUCCAAGCCAACAGGUUGGAUCCCUAUUGUUUUUGUAAGGAUUUUUAGGGGUCCAAGCCAACAGGUUGGAUCCCUAUUGUUUUUGUAAGGAUUUUUCUUAUUAUUAUUAUUCUUACCUGCCUAAAAGUGUGCCCACAGCCCAAACCGUAAAUGGUGCCGACACGCCAAUUGCAUGACUAGAUCCAGAUCUCUUCGGACUACGCAGACGACAAAAUCCAGACACGCCGAACACUAGGUGGCGCUAUACCAAGGAAUACGCGUUUGGGGCUAUAACUCCCACACCGAACCUCCCACAGUCCAAAAACUUGUACGCACAUAUUCACUGGAGUCUGCUGCAUCUUUUGGCAUAGGCCACGCCCAUUUGCGUCUGGAAUUUUUUUUUCGCAAAAUCGCGAAAACCGCAAAACAGUUUUUUCCCUACUCCUCCCACAUUUCUUGACCAAUCGACACCAAACUUUGCACACGGCAUCUUCAGACUCAC